rnacentral:rRNA from 1 species
CGCAUGCCUUGAUGCCUGGGUUCGCGGCAUGCGAUGCGAUCCAUGCUAACGUGAGAACAUGCAUGACUCUCGGCAACGGAUAUCUUGGCUCUCGCAUCGAUGAAGAACGUAGCAAAAUGCGAUACUUGGUGUGAAUUGCAGAAUCCCGUGAAUCAUCGAGUUUUUGAACGCAAGUAG